rnacentral:rRNA from 1 species
AGUAUUGCAUGGCUGAAAUGAUAUCUAUUGUAGUUUCGAACAAGUCACAUGAUCUCAUAGCAUGGGCUCAAGGCGUGCUACAUGUCAAAUAUUUCCAAUCGAAUUCGAAACUGCAAAGUUUCAAUGAAGCAGGAAUCGCCUGUAAUCAGGUCUAAUAUAACCUGGUGAAAAUUAACGCUCUUCGUGCACACACUGCCCGUCACAUCCGGAAACGACUUAAUAUCCAUAUAUUUUUGCUGUUUUUAGCAACAAGACAUACAAGAUACACGCCGAAUUUGGAUGAAGUCGUAACAAGGUUUGAGCAGGGGAACCUGCUCAGGAAAAUGAUCAAAU